GACGAACGCUGGCGGCGUGCUUAACACAUGCAAGUCGAACGGACAGGCCCUGCUUUUGUGGGGUGCUCGAGUGGCGAACGGGUGAGUAACACGUGAGUAACCUGCCCUUGACUUUGGGAUAACUUCAGGAAACUGGGGCUAAUACCGGAUAGGAGCUCCUGCUGCAUGGUGGGGGUUGGAAAGUGUCGGCGGUUGGGGAUGGACUGGCGGCUUAUCAGCUUGUUUGUGGAGUAGUGGCUUACCAAGGCUUUGACGGGUAGCCGGCCUGAGAGGGGUACCGGGGUCAAGGGGCCUACGAUAGGCACCAGAAGGCAACGGGAGGCAGUGGUGGGGAGCAUUACGGAGUGAGGGGGAGUGUGUGGCAGAAGCGUCGGGUGCGGGAUGACCGGUUUCGGGUGAUAAACAGCUGUGGACGGAGACAUGGCGGGAGUGACGGUAACGGGUAAAAAAGCACCGGCUAACUACGUG
rnacentral:rRNA from 1 species